AGGGGACAGUGUCUACACAACCAGGGAGGGGGGUGGGGGAUUGGGCCACACUGCCCUGACCACACAGCUUUCUCCGGAACCUCCUCUUUCUCCGGAACCUCCUUCCGGCAUGUCUUAGCACACUGGCGAGGAAGGAAAGCCGCGCACAGGUGCCGGGCCCCGGGAACCCAUACGAUUUAGAAGAAACACACCGAUGGUUGCCCUGCGGACCCGUGCCCACACCGCCCGAGGGACCCCCUCCCACCUCCGCUCCGGAGCCCAGAAGUUAGCUGUGGAGUUUGUUUGUCGCGCCCGCGCACCUACAGUGAGCAAGAAGAGCUGGCGCCCGCCCGCCCGCCCGAGCUCUGCCCCGCUCUCUGCUCCUGCAGUUCCUUCGCCGCCUCCGAGAUCUCGGGGCGACGGCGAGCGGCUGUGGCGGCGCGAAACCCGGGCGGCAGCCGCCGAGUCUCUGUAGCCGGGCCGGGAAAGCCGGGAGCGCCGCGCAGCCCGCGCAGAAGCAUCCUCGAGUAACCGGGGAAAUGAGUGUGAGCUUUGUAGGAACAGCAAGGAGAAGAGAGCACGUCUCCACCAGGAUGGCCGAGUGGUUAAGGCGUUGGACUUAAGAUCCAAUGGACAUAUGUCUGCGUGGGUUCGAACCCCACUCCUGGUAGAGUUGCGGUUUUGUUCCUUGACGCAGUCUGUCAGUUUAUUUUAGGUCCAGAGCUCUUGGAAAUUUAAAAGUCUUAUUUCAGUUGAAAGAAAUGUUCUUUAAUUCUUAAUAGGGCGCUGCUACAAGGCAGCCCAAUUUCCCGCAGUGAAGCGACCCUGUCUCCAAGAACCGACCUGAGCCAGGCGGGAAGAGGCUCAGCGGAGAGGUCCAUUCAGUUAUCUGGAGUCCUAGAAAAAUAUUUUUCGAAAAACUCCGAACUCUGUGGGAAAUGAUAUCAGCAUAUUUAAAUUGUGACACCUACUGGUAAACUUGAGGCUGGAGAGAUGGCUCAGCAGUUAAGAGCACUGACUACUCUUCCUAAGGAUCUUAAGUUCAAAUUCCAGCAAUCACAUGGUGGCUCACAACCACCCAUAAUGAGAUCUGACGCCCUCUUCUGGUGAGGCUGAAGACAGCUACAGUGUACUUACGUAUAAUAAUAAGUAAAUCUUUAAAAAAAAAAAAAGAUUUCAUUUCAAAAACGGGAAUUUUGGAGGAAAACAUGGAUUGCAUUUUUCUUAUGUUUAUUGAAUUUCUUGUUUCACUUAACAGUCUUUAAAUGCCUAGUUUUCCAGUGGCAGCACCUUCAAAGGCAGAAUUGUGGGUAAUUCCUUAAAUAAUGUCUUGGGGUUUUUGUUGUUGUUUUUUUUUAAGUAAUGUUUUGAAAUCUAACUUGAAAAGAAAAGAAAAAUAAACUCUGAGUUUUC